ACCAAAGGUUAAUUCUUUCUCAUCAAGAGAGAAUCCUUAAUUAAAUAUUUGAAAGAAGGAAAAGUUUUGUUCUAUCACUACAAGAAAAAAUAUUAAAAUUUCCGACGGAAUAUACCGAAGGAUUGCAUUCCGUCAAAAAAAUUUGAAAUAUCGACGGAAAUUACUGAUGGACUAUGUUUUCGUCGGAAAUUAUAAUUUUCCCACAGAUUUUUCCCACGGAAUGUGCCCUUUCCUCCAAUUUUCUCUACGUGUUUCCCCCUCUAUUUCUCUCAAUCGCUCAUCUCGUUCUCUCUUCGGCUUCCUUGUCACAGCUACGAGAGCAGAAUUUGAAGUUCCAAUCAUCCCUCUGGAUUUGUCCUUUUGAUUGCUAUUAUUCGUUGCACGCCAUCUUUUAUUUGACUGCAGCUGGGUGUGGACCUUGUAAGUUUUUGUGGCUGACUUUUCUUCAAGAUAUGUCAUCAGGUGGUGACGACCUUUCCCGACCCUCAUCUCAUGACUCUAGUGGGAAAGGGAGAAUUGAAAAGAAAAAACGAUAUGUGGUUAGAUUAUUACCACCUCGAGAUAGUCUGCCAUCAACUACUCCAUCUCCAUCUUCUAUGUCAAUGCCAGUUAGGCCUCUAGAUGUUGCAGCUACACCAUCUCCACCUCCUACUGAAGCUAGACCAUUUUCAUCUCAUGUUGAUGCACCUGGACCAUCCACAGUACCAGCAUUCACACCAUCUCCAUCCUCGGUUGAUGCACGUGGACCGUCCCCAAUACCUAGAUCCACACCUUCCCCAUCCCCAGCUGUAGCCAACACGCCUACCAAUGAAGAUGCUACAAAUUUGGCGAUGGAAGACCUUCCCCCUUAAUGACCGUCUAUGGUUACGCUAAUCAAUGGAGCGUUGCAGCAAAGGCUGUGACUUUGCCAUUAGGCAACAAUUUGGUCAGCCUUGGCCUACAUGGGGAGUGAUUCCAAAAGAUCAUCAGGAACUUUUUUUCCAACGUUUUAAGGGAAAAUUAGUCUGGAGACCCGAGGAAGAGAAUGAAGUUAAAAAAGCUUUUCACUCGAAAGCCUCUCAUAGACUUUCUGAGAUGUUUAGGGAUGCCCGAAAUGAAAAUAAAAGGCCAUAUUGGAUUGGAGAUCGUGUUUGGAAUGAUUUGUUAUCACAUUGAAAUGCACCUGAGUAUCGUUCCAAGUGUGCACAGGCCAAAAAAAUAGGGCAUCUGAAAAGGGUGGGUGUAUGCACACAGGUGGUUCUAUCAGCUUGCAGGAUCACGCCAUUCGCUUGUCAGAGGAGCUUGGUCGAUCUGUAUAUGUAGAUGAGAUCUUUCAGCAAACUCAUUUUCGAAAGGAUAAUGGUCAAUUUGUCGAUGAUAGAUCUAGAAAGACACAUGAAGAAUUUGAGGCUAGAUUAUCUCAAGCUAGGUCUGAUGCUGCAUCAAGUGUUGGUGAAUCACAACUCACUCCUUUAGACCCUGCUGAAGAACAAAGACUUAGGAGUCAAUCUUGGGUUGUAGCUGUGGGACCAAAGCAUAAGGGACGCCUUUAUGGUAUUGGAGACCUUGCUCAUACUUACAAAUGCGGAAAUGAUAGUUUCAUGCAACAUACACAAGGAUCUUCUAGUCGCACUGAGGAUGCUGCAGAGAUCAAUCGACUGCGGGAGGAGUUGCGUCAAUCAAAGGAGAAAAUGCGUGUUUUUCAAUCAGUUGUCCUUCAGUUCCUAUCUCUUGAAGCGCGGAACAUUAUUCAUCAACAACAACAACAACAACCUCACCAACAAUAACAAGACCAAUAGCAGCACCAGCAAGACCAUGCAGAUGACCCGCAGACAGAUGACCAGCACGAACAUGAUGACCAACAGAGACAGUUUCCUGAUGACUAUUUUGAUUACUAACUUAGCAAUACCAAAUUGCUAUUCGCAAUUAGCAUCGACAUUUUACAUUGUGUUUUUAUUUUACAUUUGUUUUCAAUUUAGUUUCAUUUAUUUUAGUCUAUGUUUUGGAUUUAUCAAUUUCACCAUUUCUUAA